ACUCGACUCCAUGAAGUCGGAAUCGCUAGUAAUCGUGGAUCAGAAUGCCACGGUGAAUACGUUCCCGGGCCUUGUACACACCGCCCGUCACACCAUGGGAGUGGGUUGCAAAAGAAGUAGGUAGCUUAACCUUCGGGAGGGCGCUUGCCACUUUGUGAUUCAUGACUGGGGUGAAGUCGUAACAAGGUAACCGUAGGGGAACCUGCGGUUGGAUCACCUCCUUA
rnacentral:rRNA from 1 species